rnacentral:rRNA from 1 species
UACAGAGGGUGCAAGCGUUGUUCGGAAUUAUUGGGCGUAAAGAGCGUGUAGGCGGUCCGGUAAGUCAGCUGUGAAAGUCAAGGGCUCAACCCUUGAAAGCCGGUUGAUACUGUCGGGCUAGAGUCCGGAAGAGGCGAGUGGAAUUCCCGGUGUAGCGGUGAAAUGCGCAGAUAUCGGGAGGAACACCAAUGGCGAAGGCAGCUCGCUGGGACGGUACUGACGCUGAGACGCGAAAGCGUGGGGAGCAAACAGG